rnacentral:rRNA from 1 species
AGCGAACGCUGGCGGCAUGCUUAACACAUGCAAGUCGCGCGGUCAGCAAUGGCAGCGGCGGACGGGUGAGUAACGCGUAGGAAUGCGUCCAGAGGUGGGGGACAACCCUGGGAAACUGGGGCUCAUACCGCAUAUGUCCUGAGGGACAAAGCAGCGAUGCGCCUUUAGAGCAGCCUGCGUCCGAUUAGGUAGUUGGUGGGGUAAUGGCCUACCAAGCCUGCGAUCGGUAGCUGGUCUGAGAGGACGACCAGCCACACUGGGACUGAGAAACGGCCCGGACGCCGACGGGAGGCAGCAGUGGGGAAUAUUGGACAAUGGGCGCAAGCCUGAUCCAGCAAUGCCGCGUGGGUGAAGAAGGUCUUCGGAUUGUAAAGCCCUUUCGGCGGGGACGAUGAUGACGGUACCCGCAGAAGAAGCCCCGGCUAACUUCGUGCCAGCAGCCGCCGCGGUAA